GACGAACGCUGGCGGCGUGCCUAAUACAUGCAAGUUGAGCGAUGAGGAUUGAUGCUUGCUCCAAUUUGAAGAGCAGCGGACGGGUGAGUAACGCGUGGAGAAUCUGCCUAUGAGCGUGGGACAACAUUUGGAAACGAAUGCUAAUACCGCAUAACAACUUUAAACAUAUGUUUUAAGUAUGAAAGAUGCAAUUGCAUCACUCCAUGAUGAUCCCGCGUUGUAUUAGUUAGGUGGUGAGGUAAAGGCUCACCAAGGCGAAGAUACAUCGCCGACCUGAGAGGGUGAACGGCCACAUUGGGACUGAGACACGGCCCAAACUCCUACGGGAGGCAGCAGUAGGGAAUCUUCGGCAAUGGACGAAAGUCUGACCGAGCAACGCCGCGUGAGUGAAGAAGGUUUUCGGAUCGUAAAACUCUGUUGGUAGAGAAGAACGGUGGUGAGAGUGGAAAGCUCACCAAGUGACGGUAACUAACCAGAAAGGGACGGCUAACUACGUG
rnacentral:rRNA from 1 species